rnacentral:rRNA from 1 species
UACGUAGGGUCCGAGCGUUGUCCGGAAUUAUUGGGCGUAAAGGGCUCGUAGGCGGUCUGUUGCGUCGGGAGUGAAAACUUACAGCUUAACUGUGAGCGUGCUUUCGAUACGGGGCAGACUUGAGGCAUUCAGGGGAGAACGGAAUUCCAGGUGUAGCGGUGAAAUGCGUAGAUAUCUGGAGGAACAUCAGUGGCGAAGGCGGAUCUCUGGGCCAUUACUGACGCUGAGGAGCGAAAGCGUGGGGAGCGAACAGG